rnacentral:ncRNA from 1 species
CGCGGGGGACGACCCCCGCAUCCUCGCCUGCUAAAACGGGGACGACCCCA